rnacentral:rRNA from 1 species
GACGAACGCUGGCGGCGUGCCUAAUACAUGCAAGUAGAACGCUGUUGCGCACGGUUGAGUAACGCGUCGGUAACUGCCUCAUUGCUGGGGAUCACUUUUUGAAACCUUAGCUAAUACCGCAUUCUGUGUGAUCGACCUGCGUUGUAUUAGCUAGUUGGUGAGGUAAAGGCUCACCAAGGCGCCGAUAAAUAGCCGACCUGGUCGGUGGAUCGGCCACAAUGGGACUGAGAGACGGCGCAGACUCCUACGGGAGGAGGCAGUAGGGAAGCUUCGGCAAUGGACGGAAGUCUGACCGAGCAACGCAGCGGGAGUGAAGAAGGUUUUCGGAUCGUAAAGCUAUGUUGUUAGAGAAGCGGUAAAUAAAGAGAAAGGGAAGGCUAACUACGUGCCAGCAGCCGCGGUAAUUG